GUAAGGAAAAGGCGGGGAGGUGAUUGGGUAAUGAGUCAGAUCUAAGACCUUAUAAGAUAAACACAACAGAAAGUGGGUGAUGAAUGGUGAAAAAGACCCAGUGCAGGCAAGCUUCUGUAAAGAGGUCACUCCAACCCCAAAUAUAUACAAAACAAGAUAAAAGGAAACAGAGCGCCACAAUCACUAUAUAGGUGAUAUAAUAGGGUUAAAAGAAAAUGAAUAAAUUGACAAAGAAAAAAA